rnacentral:rRNA from 1 species
GACAGAGGGUGCAAACGUUGUUCGGAAUUACUGGGCGUAAAGCGCGUGUAGGCGGCUCUGUAAGUCGGGUGUGAAAUCCCACGGCUCAACCGUGGAAGUGCACUCGAAACUACAGGGCUAGAGUCCUGGAGAGGAAGGUGGAAUGCUUGGUGUAGAGGUGAAAUUCGUAGAUAUCAAGCGGAACACCGGUGGCGAAGGCGGCCUUCUGGACAGUGACUGACGCUGAGACGCGAAAGCGUGGGGGAGCAAACAGGG